GGUAGAGGAACUUGCUUCCUUGAGACCGGCGCACGGGUGCGUAACGCGUAUGCAAUCUACCUUGUACAGGGGGAUAGCCCAGAGAAAUUUGGAUUAAUACCCCAUAGUAUUAUUGAAUGGCAUCAUUUAAUUAUUAAAGUUCCAACGGUACAAGAUGAGCAUGCGUCCUAUUAGCUAGUUGGUGUGGUAACGGCACACCAAGGCUACGAUAGGUAGGGGUCCUGAGAGGGAGAUCCCCCACACUGGUACUGAGACACGGACCAGACUCCUACGGGAGGCAGCAGUGAGGAAUAUUGGACAAUGGGCGCAAGCCUGAUCCAGCCAUGCCGCGUGCAGGAAGAAGCAUCUAUGGUGUGUAAACUGCUUUUGUACGGGAAGAAACACUCCUACGUGUAGGAGCUUGACGGUACCGUAAGAAUAAGGAUCGGCUAACUCCGUGCCAGCAGCCGCGGUAAUACGGAGGAUCCAAGCGUUAUCCGGAAUCAUUGGGUUUAAAGGGUCCGUAGGCGGUCUAAUAAGUCAGUGGUGAAAGCCCAUCGCUUAACGAUGGAACGGCCAUUGAUACUGUUAGACUUGAAUUAUUGGGAAGUAACUAGAAUAUGUAGUGUAGCGGUGAAAUGCUUAGAUAUUACAUGGAAUACCAAUUGCGAAGGCAGGUUACUAUCAAUAUAUUGACGCUGAUGGACGAAAGCGUGGGGAGCGAACAGGAUUAGAUACCCUGGUAGUCCACGCCGUAAACGAUGGAUACUAGCUGUUCGGAGCAAUCUGAGUGGCUAAGCGAAAGUGAUAAGUAUCCCACCUGGGGAGUACGUUCGCAAGAAAUGAACUCAAAGGAAUUGACGGGGGCCCGCACAAGCGGUGG
rnacentral:rRNA from 1 species